rnacentral:misc_RNA from 1 species
GAAAAAGCAGCAGCAGACGUGCAGGAGUUAUGUCCGCGGAGGCGGCACACAUACUGAAAAAAAAGGAGGGCAUUCUGUCCUUGGAAAAGUACCUUGAUCGUAAGGUAGUGGUAUCGCAAAAAAACCAUGAAGUGCACGGCGUACUGAAAGGGUUUGACAAUAAUGUGAACUUGGUUCUAGCCGACGCAGAGUUGUGGCACCGCAACACACACAUACGCAAGAUUGGCGCCUGUGUCGUGCGUGGUGGCCCCGUAAACCUCAUCCUUUCCGGUGACACCACCAUCAUUCCAAAUCCCUUUAUUUAGUGAAUGGGAAGGUUGGGGUGUGGGAAGGAAGUUGGCUGCUCGUCGAUGAGGUCUGCCCCUUGUUUUCGUACCCAACCAAAGAUACGCACGCUGUCUUGGACACACGAGUGCUACAAGGGAUGCCUUGCGAGGGCACUUUCUCUCAUGCCGAUCAGCCACUCUGCGCGGCCGCGGCCUCCCUGCGUAUGGUUCGAAAACCGAGUUGACCCUCAGGCUCGUCGCCAUCACGAUCUUGCGCGUGAAACACGACCCUGGCCUAGAUGCUC